GGUUCUAUGGUGUAAUGGUUAGCACUCUGGACUUUGAAUCCAGCGAUUCGAGUUCAACUCUCGGUAGAACCU
rnacentral:tRNA from 1 species